rnacentral:rRNA from 1 species
AUUGAACGCUGGCGGCAUGCUUUACACAUGCAAGUCGAACGAGUGGCGCACGGGUGAGUAAUACAUCGGAACGUGUCCUAUCGUGGGGGAUAACUGAGCGAAAGAACAGCUAAUACCGCAUAAGAUUGGAGCGGCCGAUGCCCGAUUAGCUAGUUGGUGAGGUAAAGGCUCACCAAGGCGACGAUCGGUAGCUGGUCUGAGAGGACGACCAGCCACACUGGGACUGAGCUACGGCCCAGACUCCUACGGGAGGCAGCAGGGGGGAAUUGUGGACAAUGGGGGCAACCCUGAUCCAGCCAUGCCGCGUGCAGUAUGAAGGUCUUCGGAUUGGAAUCUGCUUUUGUCAGGGAAGCGGUACCUGAAUAAUAAGCGCCGGCUAACUACGUGCCAGCAGCCGCGGUAAUUC